UAGCAUUUUCAUUUUGUUAAUCCAAAAGGAUUAAUCCCGUUUUGGAUGUGCUAAGGUUGCAGCUUACUAGAGCUUGUUAAGAUGAGUAAACACAAGGGAAAUAAUUGGUACUCCAAAAUCUUGAAAUCUUUGGCUUCGUUCUUGUGUAUAUCCAGUAAAGGCGAAAAUGUAAAAGCUUCGAAAGCUAAAGGCCCAGAGGAAGCCAUGGUUUCUGCAGCAAAGCAUUUCUCUAGUGCACAUAAAGUGCGGUUAGAUUGAUAUAUAUAUAGAGAGAGACAUUUGAAUGAUUUCUCAGGUCCGUUUGGCAUGACUUUUGAAAAGUCAAAAUAAACUUUUGAAAUCCAAAAGUUGUUUUGAAAUUUGUUUUGUUCAUUUUAACUUUUCAAAAGUCAUGCCAAAUGAGCCUGUAAUUUCUUCACCAGUCUUUUACAGAUAGCAAAAACAAAAAUCGUGUCAAAAGAGCUCUCAAUAAAGCUAGAAAAAGUUGUAUUUAGCAAAAUACUAAAAUUUGUUGUGUAUGGGUGUAAAGUAGUUUUAUAGGUCGGCUUGGCCCAUAAGCCCAUCCAAUGCUGGGUCGCACCAUGCCAUCGUCUUUGGGCUUUGGCCAUAGCAUGGCAUAGAUGGGUGUGUUGGGCCAUGCCAAACUCCACUUCUCUUACAAUCACAAGGAAAAAUAUGGAUAUUGAUUCAUGGUUCUCAGCAAACACAUGUUACACAAAUUUUGUGCCAUUUCUACUGUUUUACACAUAAUACUGUGAUAUGAGAUAAUUUUAAGCUAAAUCUUAAAAGAAAAGGAUAUAUCUUCAAGGCUUUCCACUGUCACCUAAAAAGAAGCUAAUCUACAGUAACAUGCAGCUAACCAAUGAAUUCCGAUCAACCUGCACUAACACGAGAGAAGAU
rnacentral:lncRNA from 1 species